CUUACAACCGGUUGAGUAGUCCUCGACUUACGACCGGUUGGGGGGUCGCGGCAUUAAAAAGGUUGAGAACCAAUGGGCUAAAUCUUGAUUAAAUUUAUAUUUUGCAAAUAUUAGCAUAUGCACUAUUGAAAGCGUACCUUUGAAAUACUAGAAAAACCAAGCCAAAAUGCUUUGGUAAGUGAAAGAAAGAUCCCUAAUGGCAUGUCCUUCUCUUGCUUAUUAACAUAUUCCAAAAGGAAUUUUGUCUGCCCAUGUUCCCCAUUCAUGUUUCUAUCAUUUUUGGAAAACAUAUAUAAAUGAGAUUUGUUUGUCUGUUAAUCCUCUUAAUCCUAAUCUGACAGUACCCAAUUCAUUAUCACUCUAGGGCACUUUUAUUUCAUGUGCUGAAAAGCUCAAGGAAAGUUUAUUCAUGGCACUUCAUAAAAGUUUCAGUGGCACCAAAUGCUAUAAGCUUGUGCUGCUAUUUCCAGGCCAUUUUCUAAAAGAAACAGUUGAAGGACAAUUAAAAUUUUAAUUAUAUCUGAAAUAUCCAUUUUAAAAAUUAGAAGAUUCUUAGUCUAUUUCAUCCAUUUCAUUACCAAUAGUGACUCAUCGCAAAUCUCCAAGGUUUCAGGAAGGGCUUUUUCAGCUCUACCUCUGGAGCUUGUAAUCUAAGACUAAUAACAACAUUAACGUAAUUAUAAAGCUAAGAAUUGCCAUCAAAGUCCACCCUAACCAUUUUGCAUCAUUAGCCUAUCCCUUUGGCUAUCAAAGCUUCCUUCCAGAUUGCCCUUCCAUAUUCUAGUCUAUGUCAUAUUGUAAUCAUGCAGCUAUAUUCAUGAUAUAGUCCAGUUUAUGGAGUAAUAAACUAAUUUACAAUAUAAUAUACAAUCUCCAUGUAUUCACAGGAAUAUUCCAGAAAUAAGAGUGAAAGUAUUAAUGCAAUUUGGAAUGUGUUGUACUUGCCAGAGACAAAGGUCUCAAUAGCUAAACAUAUCCAUCAUAAAAGUGAUUAAAAAUAAAUUUUUGAAGGAAAAAUAACAUCAGUAGGAAGAAUGUGCAUUAUGUUCAAGAAUGAGAUAAUCAUUGUACCGGUGGAAUAUAUAAUGGGUAUAUAGAUCUAACCCAAUAUUUUUUUUAAAUGUACAAAGUGGCAGUCCUAAAUGCUAUUGCAAAUUCAGGCCAGGCUACAAUGCUGAAAUGGAGAGAGCUGUCUAGAUGUACAAGCCUUUCCAUUAACUAUAGUCCUUUCAAAGCUCUUCUUUUCUUAAUUUCCUCAUGACUUUGUUGAAAAAUCCAAGUUAAUUAACUGCUCUCCUUAUGCACUAUCUGAAACUUUUCCAGUAGCCUGUUUAUCCUCAACAUUUCUCAUAGGUGCUUAGUAUUCCCUUCCAUGGAAGCAAUUAGUAGCAAAGCAUCUGGACCCUUUUCAGAUGAACUAGUCAUCAUUAAUACAUUGAUUAGAUAUUGUCUCAAACAAUAAGAAAGGUGCUGUACGUUUGGAACAGUACUAAAGAUGCACAUUUCAUGGAUAAACUAGAACACAGUUUUACCUGAAGCUGAACAAAAUUCAAAAAUGUAUAAAAUUAUAAUCCAGCAUUCCUUAGACAUGGCCACCCAAAUAAAUUAAUGCAAUUAAAUAUAUCUGUUAUUAUUUGGCUGUGCUCACAAACCCAGUUAAAUAUACACAUUGGCUUUUCUAUUCUUACAGUAGAUUGUGUCAUGUUUGUCUUUUGUGUUUUUUGGAAGGACAAAAAACUGAAGCUGAAAUACUAAUACUUUGGCCGCUUAAUGAGAAGAGAGCACUCAUUGGAAAAAACUGAUUUUGAGAAAGGUUGAAAGCAAAAGAAGAAAGGAAUGGCAGAGGAUGACGUGGUUAGGUAGUGUCAUUGAUGCAAUGAACAUGAAUUUGGGAAACUGGGAGACAGUGCAGGACAAGAAGGCUAAGGUCCAGGGGGUCACAAAGAGUCAGAUAUGACUUAGUGAUUGGAUAAUAACAACAAUCAUUUUACUGAGUAAGCUUCAUAAAGCAUAAAGGACAUGUAUUAUACUUGGCUGUAUAACCAAGAAUUUUGGGUAGCCUUCUCCAACUGCUACCAUCCAGAUAUGUUAAUCUUCAGUUUUAUAAAAUGCUGUUCAGGAUUUGGCAUUAUGGGAAGCUGAAAUCCCAAACACUUAGAAAGUAUUAGAUGAAGAUGUUUCUGUUGAAGCAUGGAUUGUGAAUUAUGUCAUAGUGGAGAUUAAACAAUUGAGUAUAGUUUCUAGUGGAAUGCCCAUAUUCGUUAGUCAAGUAUGCAACUGUAACAGAGGAAGAGGGACUCUGUAAAAUUAGCUCAAUUUAUUUCUUCAGAAUAAUCUGCUUUCUAUGUGAUCCAGAUUUUCUCACUUUUCUUCCUUCAUAAAGAGGUUUGUUUCCUGAGAGAUAAUGACUGGAUACUGUUUAACUUUCUUUAAAGUUUCCCCAUUCUGCAUCAAGUUACCUUUAAAGAAAAUUAAACAGUAUGUCAGUGAAAAUCCAGCAUGGGGGGGGGGAAACCCCGUUUUUUUGAGAUGCCAGACUAGCGUGCAUUCAUGUGCUUCCAAUCCCCUUGCUUGCUGCAAAGUCAGAUUGGAGUCCUCAGGCUGCUGCUGCCAGUCCAUUUCGAGUUGGUCCAAAAGUGAAGGGAAUGGUUCCCACCCCACCGGAUCGCUGCGGGGCUUCGUUUCCAAAAACCCUCUGCACAGGCUUUGGACAAAUUUCAAGACUGAAAAAGAAGCAACCGGAGUGAACAGCUGUUCAAAGGAGGAGGAAGAAGGAGAAAGUGGGAGAAGUCACUACCGAACAGACUGGACUGAAAAGACAAAGCCACCUCAGAAGAAGUCAGCAACAAACUCAUGUUGCUAUGAAAACCACAUGUAUGCCACCAGAGUCAAGUCUGAUUUAAAGAUGUUACCUUUAGAGGGAAUUUCAACCUUUUACGCUGUAAUCUAUAGGACAUCUUAAAAUGGGUUAUGUUAGAACAUUUAUGAUUUACUCAGUUUUUUCUAUAGUAUUUUUGAAUAAAGUGGACAAGUAUCCCAGAUGGAGAGACAAAUCCAUCUUAAAAGUAUUAUAAUUCCUUUCUGCUAUAAUAUUAAUCAAACAUAAACUAGAUAUAAUUUUUAUAACCAUAUGUUUCAGAAUGGGAAAAAUUUGUGAAUGAAUAUCUAAAUUUGGGCAUCCCAAAUCUCAUCAGGAGAAUUUUGCUGUGGACAAUAUAAAAUUAAGAAGAUGGGAUGAUGAAAAGAGCUAUGUAGUCUCAUGGCUGUUCAAAUUUAGAAUUUUAGCUCAGUUGUAAAAUCUGAUAAAAUCUAUCUUCUGCCAUAAAUUUAUACCAUGGUCUGAAACAUAUCCAUUUUAUUCAAUUUCUAGCCAUCUGCAGUGUGAAACUAAUAACUGAUGCAUUUUAUUAAGUUAUGGAAAUAAAUAUUAAAGGCCAGUUGUUUGCUUUCAAAA